GAUGAACGCUGGCGGCGUGCCUAAUACAUGCAAGUCGAGCGAACGGACGAGAAGCUUGCUUUUCUGAUGUUAGCGGCGGACGGGUGAGUAACACGUGGAUAACCUACCUAUAAGACUGGGAUAACUUCGGGAAACCGGAGCUAAUACCGGAUAAUAUUUUGAACCGCAUGGUUCAAAAGUGAAAGACGGUCUUGCUGUCACUUAUAGAUGGAUCCGCGCUGCAUUAGCUAGUUGGUAAGGUAACGGCUUACCAAGGCAACGAUGCAUAGCCGACCUGAGAGGGUGAUCGGCCACACUGGAACUGAGACACGGUCCAGACUCCUACGGGAGGCAGCAGUAGGGAAUCUUCCGCAAUGGGCGAAAGCCUGACGGAGCAACGCCGCGUGAGUGAUGAAGGUCUUCGGAUCGUAAAACUCUGUUAUUAGGGAAGAACAUAUGUGUAAGUAACUGUGCACAUCUUGACGGUACCUAAUCAGAAAGCCACGGCUAACUACGUGCCAGCAGCCGCGGUAAUACGUAGGUGGCAAGCGUUAUCCGGAAUUAUUGGGCGUAAAGCGCGCGUAGGCGGUUUUUUAAGUCUGAUGUGAAAGCCCACGGCUCAACCGUGGAGGGUCAUUGGAAACUGGAAAACUUGAGUGCAGAAGAGGAAAGUGGAAUUCCAUGUGUAGCGGUGAAAUGCGCAGAGAUGUGGAGGAACACCAGUGGCGAAGGCGACUUUCUGGUCUGUAACUGACGCUGAUGUGCGAAAGCGUGGGGAUCAAACAGGAUUAGAUACCCUGGUAGUCCACGCCGUAAACGAUGAGUGCUAAGUGUUAGGGGGUUUCCGCCCCUUAGUGCUGCAGCUAACGCAUUAAGCACUCCGCCUGGGGAGUACGACCGCAAGGUUGAAACUCAAAGGAAUUGACGGGGGCCCGCACAAGCGGUGGAGCAUGUGGUUUAAUUCGAAGCAACGCGAAGAACCUUACCAAAUCUUGACAUCCUUUGACAACUCUAGAGAUAGAGCCUUCCCCUUCGGGGGACAAAGUGACAGGUGGUGCAUGGUUGUCGUCAGCUCGUGUCGUGAGAUGUUGGGUUAAGUCCCGCAACGAGCGCAACCCUUAAGCUUAGUUGCCAUCAUUAAGUUGGGCACUCUAAGUUGACUGCCGGUGACAAACCGGAGGAAGGUGGGGAUGACGUCAAAUCAUCAUGCCCCUUAUGAUUUGGGCUACACACGUGCUACAAUGGACAAUACAAAGGGCAGCGAAACCGCGAGGUCAAGCAAAUCCCAUAAAGUUGUUCUCAGUUCGGAUUGUAGUCUGCAACUCGACUACAUGAAGCUAGAAUCGCUAGUAAUCGUAGAUCAGCAUGCUACGGUGAAUACGUUCCCGGGUCU
rnacentral:rRNA from 1 species